ACCAGCUCGUCACAGCCACAGGCCGCCUGGCAUCCCAGGGACCAAAUCUUCAGAAUAUCCCGGUCCGAUCGGACGUGGGCCGGAAAAUUCGCAAAGCUUUCCACGCGCCCGAAGACCACGUGCUCAUCUGCGCCGACUAUUCCCAGAUCGAGCUCAGAAUUCUGGCGCACUGCAGCGGUGACGGAGCGCUGAUCGAUGCAUUCGAGAAGGAUGAGGACAUCCAUACCACGGUCGCAGCCCAGGUUUUCGGCGUCCAUCCCGACUCCGUAACGCGCGAGCAGCGGUCGAACGCUAAGACGAUCAAUUUCGGGAUAAUCUACGGUGUCACCCCGUUCGGACUGGCCCGGCGGAUUGAGGGAUUGGACGUUCCGGCCGCGACCAAGCUCAUCGCCUACUACAA
rnacentral:misc_RNA from 1 species